rnacentral:snRNA from 1 species
GUGCUCACUUUGGCAGCAUAUAUACUAAAA